rnacentral:rRNA from 1 species
CCUACGGGUGGCUGCAGUGGGGAAUAUUGGACAAUGGGGGGAACCCUGAUCCAGCCAUGCCGCGUGUGUGAAGAAGGCCCUCGGGUUGUAAAGCACUUUCAGUGAGGAAGAACGCCUGGUGGUUAAUACCCAUCAGGAAAGACAUCACUCACAGAAGAAGCACCGGCUAACUCCGUGCCAGCAGCCGCGGUAAUACGGAGGGUGCGAGCGUUAAUCGGAAUUACUGAGCGUAAAGCGCGCGUAGGUGGCUUGAUAAGCCGGUUGUGAAAGCCCCGGGCUCAACCUGGGAACGGCAUCCGGAACUGUCAAGCUAGAGUGCAGGAGAGGAAGGUAGAAUUCCCGGUGUAGCGGUGAAAUGCGUAGAGAUCGGGAGGAAUACCAGUGGCGAAGGCGGCCUUCUGGACUGACACUGACACUGAGGUGCGAAAGCGUGGGUAGCAAACAGGAUUAGAUACCCGUGUAGUC